rnacentral:rRNA from 1 species
CGGUAACAGGUCCUUCGGGAUGCUGACGAGUGGCGAACGGGUGCGUAACACGUACACGACCUACCUUCAAGAGGGGGAUAGCCCUGGGAAACUGGGAUUAAUACCGCAUAGUAUUAUUUGGCUGCAUGGCUGAAUAAUUAAAGCUUAGGCGCUUGAAGAUGGGUGUGCGUUCCAUUAGGUAGAUGGUGAGGUAACGGCUCACCAUGCCUACGAUGGAUAGCGGGUCUGGGAGGAUGAUCCGCCACACGGGCACUGAGACACGGGCCCGACUCCUACGGGAGGCAGCAGUAAGGAAUAUUGGACAAUGGGCGGAAGCCUGAUCCAGCCAUCCCGCGUGCAGGAAGACGGUUCUAUGAAUUGUAAACUGCUUUUAUCAGAGACGAAAAGUUUCCAUUUAUGGAAGAAUCGACGGUAUCUGAUGAAUAAGCACCGGCUAACUCCGUGCCAGCAGCCGCGGUAAUACGGAGGGUGCAAGCGUUAUCCGGAAUUACUGGGUUUAAAGGGUCCGCAGGCGGGCUGAUAAGUCAGUGGUGAAAUCCUACGGCUCAACCGUAGAACUGCCAUUGAUACUGUUAGUCUUGAGUAAGGUGGAAGUUGGCGGAAUACAGCAUGUAGCG